CGGGACGGGUGAGUAACGCGUGGGUAACCUGCCUUAUACAGGGGGAUAACAGUCAGAAAUGGCUGCUAAUACCGCAUAAGCGCACAGAGCUGCAUGGCUCAGUGUGAAAAACUCCGGUGGUAUAAGAUGGACCCGCGUUGGAUUAGCUAGUUGGCGGGGUAACGGCCCACCAAGGCGACGAUCAGUAGCCGACCUGAGAGGGUGACCGGCCACAUUGGGACUGAGACACGGCCCAA
rnacentral:rRNA from 1 species